rnacentral:lncRNA from 1 species
CCGCCCCUUUCCGGAAUGUUCUGUAUGUCCCCCCCCCAUUCUGUGAACAUGCUCACCCACCCUAUAGUUCCCCAAGUGCUCAGCAAUUCGAGUGACCUUUCGAUUCUUCAGUCUUCAAAUUGCAGUAGAUGCGACUUGUGAGCUGUAACGCUCAACUGUGGCUCAGAGCUGUGGCACUUGCUGUAGCGCCGAGGUGUUUCGCUUUGCCACAACAGAACUACGAACACAUCUGGCUCAAAUUGGACUAUUUUAAAUUCCACAUGUGACUAAAUUUGAACAACUAAUAAAGGGCG